CGGGUAACGGGGUGUUAGGGCACGACACCGGAGAGGGAGCCUGAGAAACGGCUACCACAUCCAAGGAAGGCAGCAGGCGCGCAAAUUACCCAAUCCCGACACGGGGAGGUAGUGACAAUAAAUAACAAUACAGGGUUCUUUUGGAUCUUGUAAUUGGAAUGAGUACAAUUUAAAUCUCUUAACGAGGAACAAUUGGAGGGCAAGUCUGGUGCCAGCAGCCGCGGUAAUUCCAGCUCCAAUAGCGUAUAUUAAAGUUGUUGCAGUUAAAAAGCUCGUAGUUGAAUUUCGGGAUCAAUGUUUCGGUCAUGCCGUUGGUAUGUACUGAUAUUAUUGAUUUCUCACCUUCUAAAGAACCGUAAUGCCAUUAAUUUGGUGUCACGGGGAAUUAGGACUGUUACCUUGAAAAAAUUAGAGUGUUUAAAGCAGGCUCACGCUUGAAUACAUUAGCAUGGAAUAAUGAAAUAGGACAUCCGAUUCUAUUUUGUUGGUUUCUAGGAUCGAUGUAAUGAUUAAUAGGGAUAGUUGGGGGCAUUAGUAUUCAAUUGUCAGAGGUGAAAUUCUUGGAUUUAUUGAAGACUAACUACUGCGAAAGCAUUUGCCAAGGAUGUUUUCAUUAAUCAAGAACGAAAGUUAGGGGAUCGAAGACGAUCAGAUACCGUCGUAGUCUUAACCAUAAACUAUGCCGACUAGGGAUCGGAUGAUGUUAAUUUUUUAAUGACUCAUUCGGCGCCUUACGG
rnacentral:rRNA from 1 species